rnacentral:rRNA from 1 species
UACAGAGGUCUCAAGCGUUGUUCGGAUUCAUUGGGCGUAAAGAGCGUGUAGGCGGCCUGACAGGUCUGCUGUGAAAACUCGAGGCUCAACCUCGAGAUGUCGGCGGAAACCGUCUGGCUAGGGUCCGGAAGAGGAGAGUGGAAUUCCUGGUGUAGCGGUGAAAUGCGCAGAUAUCAGGAAGAACACCUAUGGCGAAGGCAGCUCUCUGGGACGGUACUGACGCUGAGACGCGAAAGCGUGGGGAGCGAACAGG